UAAAACCCUCGUUACCCUCCCUCUUCCUCUCAUUUGCACCAAACUGUGAAACUCUCUCUGCCUCUAACCUAGCCGCCGUCAACGUUGGAUUUUCAGGCGAAUCAACGUCGAUUGAGUACUCAAGUCAUAGUGGAAGUUUCAUCCACAAGUCCAAUGACGCCUCUCUCUUUUUCGCCGAGCGAAUCUGAUGAAAAGUCCAAGCCUUCUUCCAAGAAAAAGGUAUUUGUUAUUUCAACUUUUUUCUCUAUUUUUAAUUUUAUGUAUGGAUUUGUUCUGGGUUUCUAUUUUCUUGGAGUUUUAACAUCUGGAAUUUUUCUGCAAUUCCUUAUUUUCAUACUUUUAAAAGAACUUUGCCUAUGAAUUGCAAGAGAAGUUGGAAUUUUGAAGCUAAAUGAAUUAUAAAAAUAGGAACUCCAAGAGAUUAAAGGAAUAUAUCAGGUAUCACUUUUAAUAUUUGAUAACAACUGAAUCCAUCUAAAAACUGCAUGUAGAAUACAAAGCAGUAAGAAUGCAGAAUUUGUUCUCUUUUUAAUUUGUAUUCUGGCUACAGAGACAGAAGAUUUGUGCAGUCUUAUUUGGUUUCAAGUAUCUCUAGAGUGAAAUCUAAGAUACAAAAUUAUAAUUGAAAGGAUAGGAAGUUUGAUUGAUCAAAAGUUUCUUGUGUCGGAGAACAGCAGAAAAUUACCAUUCAAAUGGCUGUUCAUAUCUUCACUCAUUCUGGUUAUUGGUGAGUAAAGUAUACGGUAUCGAGUUAACUCAAGAGUCUGCUCAUAAACUACAAUGUCAAGUCUAACUACCUGCUCAUUUCUUAACGAUUAAAUGCCGCUAAUAUUAGAGAUUUAUGCAGUCAGUGAUAAGAACAAAAUUCUAAUUUUUAACCUUUUUUACUACUCAAUAACAAGAAAAUACGAACUUCCAACAAUGAAACAUAAUUUAAUUGGUGCUAAAACAGUGUUUCAUAUGAUUCAAAUUACAAUCUUUUCUAUCUAAAAUUAAAUGCCAAAACGAGAUUACCUUUUGGAUAUUAACUAAAGGCUCAUGUCCAAAACUUAAAUUCAUAAGAAAACAACAUAUACAUUAAGGGAAAGUGUUGUAUCACAUAGAAAUCACCAAACAUGACUUACUGUUGGGAAAAAUAAUAAUUUGAAUGUAGAUUAAUGUCAAUUAAAAUAACAAAUUUAAGCAAAGAGUUAGAAAAAAAUUAAAAAAAGUUACUUGUACAAUGAACAAGCACGAAAAGGAAAGAAAAACUUAGCUAAUUCAAUUGAUCAUAAAUCAGAAAAGAGAUAUACUACGGCGUUAUAUAGAGUGGAUUUCACGACAUUCGGGAGGCCAACGAUGUUGGCUUUCAAGCUCAUGCUUAUCUUAGCUAUCUGAAAUUGUCUAUUGAUAAAAACAUCGAAUGCGAAGAAUUUGAAAGAUUUGGUCAUUGGAAUAGGAGUGAAAGCUUCAGUGGUAGUGAUGAAAUUGAAAGAAUGAGAUUUGCGCAUACUAUUCUUACCAUUAAUAAAGGGAAAUGAGGUUGAGAGUUUGCAGAAUUUGAUUAUAAUGUAGUAAUUGCUAAUUCUUUAAGGCAAAAUUUUGGGAGGGGGAGGGGGAGGGGGAGGGUUAUAACAUAUUUAACAUGUUCUUAAAUAAUUUAGUUAGUUAUUAGGGUAUUAAUCUAAGCGGAACUUACGAAAGUACUCCCAAAAUUAGAAGUCUUUUGAAAAAUCAUAUGGAAAGUGUUUUAGAAGUAAAAAAAUACUUGUGUAAAGUGAAGUGUCCCAUUUUUAUUGAAAGGUGACAUACUGAGAAUUCAUGUUUGUCAUUCAAAAAAGUAAUAGAAAUUUUUUAAAAAAAGUGAUAUAUACAACAAAAAAAUUAUAGAAUUUCAAAAAAGUGACCAAAAAAAAAAAAUAGUGACAAACACUCAAAAAAGACAAAAAUUUCAAAAAGUAACAAAUACUAAGAAAAUUGACAAAUUUACAUUCGUGUCAAUAAUUCAAGUCUUGUUGAAUUUGAUUGAUGUGAUACCAUUUUGAAAGUAUACAACUUGAACACAACGAGCAAACUUACCCAGAAUUUACAAUGGAUAAAUGCCAUUUCCUAGUCUAACAUCGAAGAAACAAUUUGCACAAUUUGAUUUCAUAUUAAAUCAAAUUAGGCUCAAAACUAGCAAUCAUUCCCUAAAUAGAAGUCAUGUAUCAUGAAGUGCACAAUCCGCAAUCAACAAGACAUUGAAAUAAUAGAUAGAAUAUAUACACGUAUUUGCACGAGAAAGAAUUACUCUAGAAACAUGCCCAUCCCACUUUCAAGAGUUCCUUCUUCCAAUGCAACGUCAUUUUGAGCACACCCAUAGUAAAUAAGUUAUAUAUCGUAAAACUUCUUUCACAGUUAACACAAUAUAAAAUAAAUUAACAUCAAGUUUCACUUAUAUUAAUUCAACAUAACAUAUAACUUCAUUUUAGGAACAUAAAAAGGUUAUAAAUUAGAAGUGUUAGAAAUUCAACAAGGGGUGCCAAUUUAAAAAAGUGAUAAAUACUUAAAAAAAGCAGAAAUUAAAAAGAGAGUGAAAAAAUCAAUCAAAGCCUGAAAAUGGAUCUAGUGUUGGUUGAUAGUGUUGGUUGAUUUCUUCUACAUUCUGUCUUUUUAAAAUUAUAUUUUACUUCUAUUAAUUAAACAUGUGACAUAACUUCAUUUUAGGAAAACAACAUCUUAUAAGUAGGAAGUGACAAGAAUUCAUAAAAAUGACUAAAAUUUAAAAGAGUGAUAGAAAUUCAAAAAAAAUGACAAAUUAUGUUUGUGUCAAUAAUUCAAAAUCACUCUAUUGUCUACACAUGAAAUUCGUAAAUCGUAACAUAUGCUCAUGUAUGAGAUCAUGUAUUCAAUAUAAUAAUGAUCGAUCUCAUAUUUGAAUAAUCACAUCAUCAACGUUUAUAUGCCCUAUUCAUACACAAAUUAGCCAAAAGCUUAAUUCAUAAACCAUCCUGUUUCUCCAACUGGCACAUGAAUAAGUAAUCUAACAAGGCAUUUGAUUGAAAGCAAUUCUAGGGCCCAAUCCUUGACAUCAUACUAUUCUCCUAAAACUUCAGAGAUAAUAAUUUUGCUAUCUUCUUUACGAGCUACAUCAGAGUGAAGAUGUUCUUAGUAUACAAACGUAAGUUCGAGUUUCAUUGGGUUGACCUAUCGGAAAACUAUCUACUAAGAAGGUCGUCAGCUUCUUCCUAUGCCCCUUAUUUACUAAGCUUGUGUUAUAAUCCAAAUUUUUAUCUCCAUUAAUAGUUGAAGACAAGUAAUCAGCAUUAUUAGCUAGAAAGCAAUGGGAUUUAUUUUGUCGGAGAAGGUACUCAUCUAAAAACAUCAUCCUUUGUGAACUUUCAUUAAUUUGGUGAAGAUGAUAUUUUUAUGAACUUAUAACAUCAUCAUACAUAUAUCACGCCUUUUAAACAAAGCCAUACUAUGAUUCUAAGACACAUCAAGUGAAAGGAAAGCAUAAUGCUUAGUUAUAUAUUAAAUCAAAAUUGAACAUGGCAAUUGAAACUAUACCUUUUGUUCAAUGAGCAAAAUAAUACAUGCUGCCAAAUGGACAAUGCCCUUUUAGCUCCAUUUGUUACAAAUCCUUGUUUUCCAGUUUGAGGGCUUCAAGAUUGAUUCAUUAUUGCCAAACUUAUUGUCGUAGUUUCUCGGGCUCCAGACUGAUCAUCAUGAAGGAAAAGUGCAAUUCUCAUCAUAAGAACAGCCCUCCUCUGUAUAGAAUUUCUUGCAAUGCCUCCAUUUAUAAGACUUCUGUGCCUCCUAACCACCUAGUAUAAUCGAAAUAUGAAACUCUUCACUUUGGCUUUGAUGACACUCCUCGUUCUUUGUCAUGGGCAACAACCAAAUCUUGAUGGUGGGAAGUAAAACAGAGAUCCAGUGGUGGGAGUCUCAGGAUUUCUAAGUUAAUUACCCAAAUAGUCACAUAACUUUGUCAAAAAUUUCAGGAGGUCGCUGAACUUCAAAACUUUCCUAAAUAAUCACUGAACUUUGGCGAAGUUCCCAAGAGCUCCCCAAAUUUCAAAACUUUGCUCUUCUUCUCGUAGCGAAUGAGAAGAGCCUGAGUGAUGCUAUAGAGAAGGGCAUUCAUUUACAGGAGCAUAUUAUGAAAUUAUACAAUGAUUAUUAUCAUGAUGAGUUGAUGAAAUUAGUUGUCAUUGGAGAAAUUAAGUUUUUUAUUCAUACAUUAAUAAGAAAAUGGAUAGAUGUGAAAGGUUUUUAGUUGGCCAUGUAAUUGAUAUUUGUUAUAGAAAGAAUGAAGAGAAAUCACAAGGUUGAGCUACGAGGUUGAAUCACCAGGUAACUAUAUUCUAGUGAACAUUUUGUUUCAGAGAAAAACCAUACAAUCAAUAUAAAAAAUUUCAACUAUAUGGCCAGUCAAGAACCUUUUACAUUUAUCCAUUUUCUUAUUUAUAUAUGAAUAAAAAACUUAAUUCCUCCAAUGACAACUAAAUUUAUCAACUCGCCUCCUGUAAAUGAAUGCCCUUCUCUAUAGCAUUACUCAGGCUCUUCUCAUUCGCUACGAGAAGUAAAGCAAACACAGUACAAAGAUACAUACACCUAAUGAGUCUAUUGAAAGGAUGAUCAGAGGUAAAUGUAUAGCACUGCAGCUGUUGCAGGCAUGAGAAAUUAUCUUGUAAAAAUUGAUUAAAUUUUAACCCAAAUUGUUAUAUGUUUAUAGGAUAUUCAACUUUGAGCCAACAGCGAUAACAAUGAACGAUCUACUACAAGAUGAUUUUUCGCGUCUGCAACAACUGUAGUGUCAUACAUCUGCGUCUGGUCAUCCUUUCAAUAGAUUCAUUCGGGGUAUAUUUCUUUGUAAUGUGUUUGCUCUACUUCUUGUAGGAAAUAAGAAGAGCCAGAGUAAUUUUAUAGAGAAUGACAUUUAUUUACAAUGACAUAUUAUGAAAUUAUACAAUGAUUAUUAUGAUAACGAAUUGAUGAAGUUAGUUGUCAUUUGAGAAAUUAAGUUUUUUUCAUACAUUAAUAAGAAAAUGGAUAGAUUUGAAAUGAUUUUGAUUGGUCAUGUAGUUGAAAUUUAUUAUACUUCAUAGAAGGAAUGAAGAGAAAUCACAAGGCUGAACUGUGAGGUUGAAUCAUCAGGUAAGUACAUUCUAGCGAACUCCCACAUUUUAUUUCGGAGAAAAAACGUUCAAUCAAUUGAACAAAUUUCAACUACAUGACCAGCGAAAAACUUUUUAUAUAUAUCCAUUUUCUUAUUAAUGUAUGAAUAAAAAAACUUAAUUCCUUCAAUGACAAUUAAUUUAAUCAAUUCACUAUGAUAAUAAUCAUUGUAUAAUUUCAUAAUAUGUUCCUGUAAAUAAAUGCCCUUCUCUAUAGCAUCACUUGGGCUCUUCUUAUUCCCUACGAGAAGUAGAGCAAACACAAUAAAAAUAAAUAUACCCUUAAUGAGUCUAUUAAAAGGAUGACCAGAGGUAGAUAUAUGGCACUGCAGUUGUUGCAGACGUGAGAAAUUUUGUAAUAGAUCCUUAAUUAUUAUCGCUGCUGGCUCGAAGUUGAAUAUUCUAUUAAUAUGUAACAAUUUGGGUCAAAAUUUAAUCAAGUUUUACAAAAUUUUUUGCUUUUGCAACAACUGCGGUGCCAUACAUUUGUCUCUGGUCAUCCUUUCAAUAGACUCAUUAGAGGUAUAUUUCUUUGUACUGUGUUUGCUUUACUUCUCGUAAAGAAUGAGAAGAGCCCGAGUGAUGCUAUAGAAAAUGACAUUCAUUUAUAGGAGCAUAUUAUGAAAUUAUGCAAUGAUUAUUAUCAUGGCAAAUUGAUAAAGUUAGUUGUCAUUGGAGGAAUUAAGUUUUUUAUUCGUACAUUAAUAAGAAAAUGGAUGGAUGUGAAAGGUUUUUGGCUGGUCAUAUAGUUGAAAUUUGUUAUACUUCAUAGAAGGUCUAUGAAUGAAGAGAAAUCACAAGGUUGAUUUGUGAGGUUGAAUCAACAGUUAACUACAUUCUAGCGAACUCACACAUUUUAUUUCGAACAAAAAGCGUUAAAUCAAUAUAACAAAUUUCAAUUACAUGACCAGUCAAAAACCUUUCACAUCCAUCCAUUUUCUUAUUAAUAUAUGAGUAUAAAUAAAAAACUUAAUUCCUCCAAUGACAACUAAUUUCAUCAAUUCACCAUCAUAAUAAUCAUUGUAUAAUUUCAUAAUAUGCUCCUGUAAAGAAAUGUUCAUCACUCAGACUCUUCUCAUUCUCUACGAGAAGUAGAGCAAACACAGUAUAAAGAAAUAUACUCCUAAUGAGUCUAUUGAAAGGAUGACUAGAAGCAUAUGUAUGGCACUGCAGUUGUUGCAGACAUAAGAUUAUCUUGUAAAAUCUUAUUACAUUUUGACCCAAAUUGUUACAUGUUAAUAGAACAUUCAAUUUCGAGCCGGUAGCGAUAAUAAUUAACGAUCCAUUCAGAAUAAAUUUCUAAAGCCAUUGAGACAGGAAAGAUGAUGGAACCUAAAUCUACAUAAUAACUCAAGGUGCAUGGCUUUAGCUUUCAUCGAAGGUGAAAUAAAAAAUUGAGCAAAUCUGAAACAUGAAAACAUUAAGAGUAAGCCCCCGUUUGAAUCUCAUUACAUUAAAUUACAUUACAUUUCAUUUUUCUCUUCUAUUUUCAACUAUACAAUCUUCCAAAAAAAUAAUAUUAUACUAAAAUGGAAAACUUUUCCUUCUUUUUCAACCACUCAUUUUUAAAAUAAAUAAUAUUACUCCCAUUUUCAUUUCCAAAAAAUGGAUGCCAAACAAGGGCUAAGUAUCAAUAAAAUCUCAUUGAGAGCAACACAAAUAAAGAGGAUAAAGAAGCAAAGCUGCUUUCUUGUAAGUCUAAGACUUGGCUACUUACUUAUCAUGUGGAACCGGAAAAUACACUUGUAGUUAACAAAUUUAAAUCCACUAUCCUAUACCACAUGAUAACUAACAAGAUUCAUAUACAUACACAGUCAAAAAUUUAUAAUCCAUGGUGUUCCUUUUAGGCCACGCUUCGCAUCUACAAGAAGCACUAGGAUCGUCCCCAUCUAUAGUUCACCAUAAUUCAUUAAGCACAAAAGUUAAGGUUCCAUUUUAUUUUGCAUUUGUCCAGCACAAGAAGCUAGCUAUUUAAAAUUUAUAUUCAACCUGAAAACAAAAUCUUGAACAAUCAUUCUAAGUUUUACGGGUUGUUUGAGCCCCAUUUUUUUGAAAAAAUGCAUUUUGAUAUAGUGUUAUGAUGGAGAAUGUGUGGUUAAAAAAUUAAAAAAAAAAUUUAGGUUUACGUGUAAUAUUAUUUUAUUGAAAAAUAUGUGAUUGAAAUGAGGUCAAAUCACCGUUGCAGAAUGUAAUUUGGUAAAAAAAUAGGGCUCAAAUAAGGGCUUAAUACUCAAACUAACAUCUUAUUCCUUGGUUCAACCUCUGCUUCAAAAACAUAAAACUUCCUAUUUAAGAGGGUCUUAAAACAAUCUGCCUCCACUGAACUUGACAUAAGAUUCAUAAACUCAAAUGAAAACAAAUCUAUUUCCUUCUGCAUGCCUUAUGGUGUGAUCUGUGCCCAGGAUAAUUCAUCUUCCAUCAAAGCGCACGAAAAAAUUAUGCCCUUGUUUGGCCCCCAUUUUUUGAAAUAAAAAUGGAUGGAAUAUUAUUUUUAAAAAAAAAUAAGUGGUUGAAAAAGAAGGAAAGGUUUUUGUUUUACGUAUAAUAUUCUUUUAUUUUAACUUAAAAUAAAUGCAAGAUUUAAUAAUGUGUGUUAAAACACACAUUAUAGAGUACUGGAGAGAUUCAAAUUUAAUAAUGUUUCAAUAUCUUGUAUUUAUUUGCAUUCAUGACUCUUUAAAUUCAUAGCAGAUUCCCAUUAAUUUGUCUCAUUUUUCCUUUUCUUCUAUUGUUUUUGCAUUUAUUUGUGCUACCUUUCAAAUGAAAUGAUCUUACCUUAGACUGCACAGAGUCGGUGAGUCGAACAGGACUUAUAUUGUUUUCUUAAAAUGUUCUUGUUUUGUCCACUUGUUACAUGAAGUUAGAAUAUGAGGCCUAUUGACCAUAUUUUGCACGUUUAGAUCGUGCCAUUUUAUUGAUUUAUGGGUCAUUGGAAUGAAACAGUUCAAAAAGAGUUGGGCUUAAGGAAGUACAAAAUUUUAUUGGGGUAGUUUAAAAAGUACAUGUAGUCGUUAAUCUAGGUGGGUGAUAGGAAUAUGUUUUCAUUUUUGCAGCUUAAAGGUGUCUGCUACACAUGCUUAUGAUAUUUAUGGUCAUAUUAGCCUCGAAUGUAUAUGCUUAUGACCAACAUUUGAAGUACUCAUAGUUGAAUUGAAAAUAUCAUGGUUUCAGAGGGUAAAGGGAGCUGCUCGUUUUUAUUAAAAGCUAAAAGCUGGGCAUCUUCUUGAUAGGACUCUGCUGGAAGAAAAUAACAACUGAGAAAUAUUAUUUAAUUCUGAAUGAAUUUCACAGAAAUGCGAAUUAUAGCAAACUUCUAAUAGACUUCUCCUCGCUAAUUUCCCCUAACAGACUUUGGCUUUCCACCCACUUGCAGCUUAUUCUUCUUCUGGGUCCUUCUAGAAUGAGUGAGGUGGAUUGGAGCCUAUCAAAUCCCUCAGUUUCCAAAUACAUCUUGUCCUUAAGGUGGGAGUCAGGGAAGUGAUAUAGGCUUUUAUGAUUCCCAUGAAGCUUCAUAUGCUAGUAAGCCUUUUGGGUCAGAUUUUUCUUGUGAAGCUUUUAACAACAUAUUGUGGUCCUGAAUGCGUUGGGCCACUUGCAUUAGAUGGCCAACCCUUUUGGGCUUAAUAACUUGAUUUUAGCCCUAAUAUCUAGCUUUAACCGAUUAAAAAAAGUGUUUUCCGAUACAUCCUCCAGUAUGUCUCUCAAAGGUGCAGCCAACACCUCAUAACUCUUAUCAAAAUUAAGCUACUAUACCGCCUUGAUUUAUUGCCUGGAGCUUCUCAUAGAUACUCUCCACCUAAGUUGGCCGAAAAUGCUGCAAGAUAUGCUGCUUGAAUUGUUGCUAGUUUUGGAAAGGCAUCAUUGCCUCUGUCGAUUGGAACCAUGUUAAGGCAUCAGGAUUAUCUCCACCGAACAUGGGCACUUCCAGUUUCUGGUUCCUCUAGUUCCUUUACUUUGCUCAAGAUCUGCUGUAUCUCCUCCAUAGCUUGCUUUGCCCAAACCUUCAGGACCCUUUCCACAAUCCUUAUUUUUUUUUAUCACCUAUGGGACUAUUGUGAGCGUUUGGGAAUGUUGGUCUCUCCGUGAUGAUUCCAGUUCCUUUACCUUCCAGCUUCCUAUUCAUUGCUGCUUUAGGGAGGGUAAUUGAUGCCACAGAUUUCUAAAUUUUUUCCAUUGUUUUUCCCCUCUUAAGAGACUUUGGUUUUCUACCCACUUGCAGCUUAUUAUUCUUCUGGGUCCUCCUAAAAUGAGUGAGGUGGAAAUUAAGUGCUGGUGUUGCUAAUGAAGGGAUGUAUUGCUCUUCAGUUUCUUAUAUUUUCUUAUGGAUAUACACCUCAUUGACUCGGGCUUGAAGAAGGUAAAUUUUUCCUUUUCUUGUUCUGGAAGUUUGGGAAAAAACUAAUUAUCACUUGCUAAUUAGCUCUUUUGUUAAUUUAGUAGCUUGCACAACAUUACAUUUGCUUGAGACUAGAAGAAUGGCUGCAAUUUAUGACUAGAUUUUAAGUUUUACUUCCUCUGUCUAUGAUUCAAUAAUCUUAUUUGUUCUUUUGCAUUUCCAUUAAUGAUUACUUUAUCGAAAACUAGACAUUUUGUUUGAUGAAUUCCCUCGUUUUAAAGUACUCGUUAGGAUUUUCUUGGAUUCUUAGCUAUUGAUUUUUUAGGGUAAAAACGAAGAGUUUCACCUAACUUUCACCUUUUCAACUUCUAACAAACUCCAAGACAUGCAAUUAUGAAUGGAGUAAUAGUUAAUUUGAAGCUUGAUCAUUAGGAAUCAAUUUCAAAAAAAUAAAUCUAAUCAAGUUCCCAAGUAGCAAGAAUUCAGAAUUUAUUCCAUUUUUAAAAUUACACAUGUUUCUGAUUAGAAAAGUAUUACAUCGACGAUGUUCCAAAUUUUUGAUAUGGUCCAUGGAAUAUUUUGGCAUCAGAUUGUUUGACUAAAUAGCUUAGUCAUGAAUUUAUUGUACUAUAUUUGUGAUGAAAUAUUAUAGGCGAUUAUUUAUUUAUUUUUCUAUUUUGAUUCUUAUUUUAGGAAAUAUGAUUAGAGUGAUUUAAUAAUUUUCAUAGCAUUUCUUUUUAAUUAAUUAUGAUUUUUUAAACCCUAUAUAGAGGGGAUUAUGGCAAUGUAAUAAAAAAACUUUUAAAUGAAAUAAAGAUUGAUAUUUUCUCCGCAACUUCUCUUCCGUCUCUCUAAUUCUUAUCCCCUUUCUAUUUCCUUCCCUCUUCUUUUCUUGUUUCUUCUAUUUUCCUCUGCCUCUCUCUUCCUUUUUUCCCUUUCUCUCUCUUAUAAUUUCCCUAUUACAUCCUACGUCAGUUUGAUUUUAUUAUGCUAAUGCCAAGCAGCAUUUAUCACUAUUGUCUAUAUCUUUCUCUUUGUAUGCUAAUAAGCUGUCACUGGAUCUUUGAUCCUUGUUAUGAUAUGACACAUGCUACUGAAGGUUUAGAUCUUUGAUAUCAUUGGCUUUGUCUAUCGAUAUCUCAAAUGACUGCGCCUACUUUCUCUACAAGAAUGGAACUCCAAGGAAAGUUGAAAUUUGUAUGUGCAGAGGGGCAACCUCUAGUUGAUUAUGCUAAAAAACUUGCUAGUUAUCUCUCACUACAUGUAUACUGAACAUCCUCAGGUCAAAUGUAUUUUAGGGCCCAUUUGAUUUGGCAAAUUUUCGACCUUUUCUCAUGUUUGAUAGCAAAAAUUUUCCAAGCAAUUUGUUUUCCUUCUCCUCCCUACACGUGCAUUUUCCUUGGUUUGGUGGAACCAGCCCCCUUUUUUGGCAUUUGGAACAAAUUCUAUCAUCAUUUGUAACAAAUUUUGUCCCUUUAAUUGACAAUUUCCAUAAAAACAAAGUUAAACGAACAUCAAAAGAUAGAAAAUUUCAUCAUUUUCAUGUAAAAAAUUAUCUCAAUCUUAAUUGACAAUUCCCAGGAAAAUAAAUUCUAGGCAGUUCAAUUCCCUAAAAUUCUUUUUCUUUCCACCCAAAUUUCAUUCUUGCAAUUAAAUAGACCUUUAAAGGAAUAAGGUGAAUUAAGGUUGUUUUGGUAGAAAAGGUUAAGCAUGAUACCUAAAUUUUCUAACACUAUAAUUUAGCAAUGAACAUUAUCUUAUUGAUUAAGCAAGAUUGAUUAUUUAAAUUGAUUUGCGUGUAAAAUAACAAUUUUUUUGAAGAAUAAACUCUAUACAAUUAGGUUGUGUUUGAUAACUCCCUUUUCCAUUGAAAAGGGAAUUUAAAUUCCAUUUGCCUUGUUUGAUAGGCAACAUUUUCUAGGCAAUAGAAUUUUCAUUUUCCAUGGC
rnacentral:lncRNA from 1 species